rnacentral:rRNA from 1 species
AAACUUAAGCAUAUCAAUAAGCGRAKSWWAAKAGAACUAACAAGGAUUCCCCUAGUAACUGCGAGUGAAGCGGGAAAAGCUCAAAUUUAAAAUCUGGCGGUCUCCGSCCGUCCGAGUUGUAGUCUGGAGAAGCGUUUUCCGCGUUGGACCGUGUACAAGUUUCCUGGAACGGAGCGUCAUAGAGGGUGAGAAUCCCGUCUUUGACACGGACCCCAAUGCUUUGUGAUGCGCUCUCAAAGAGUCGAGUUGUUUGGGAAUGCAGCUCAAAAUGGGUGGUGAAUUCCAUCUAAAGCUAAAUAUUGGCGAGAGACCGAUAGCGAACAAGUACCGUGAGGGAAAGAUGAAAAGCACUUUGGAAAGAGAGUUAAACAGUACGUGAAAUUGUUGAAAGGGAAACGCUUGAAGUCAGUCGCGUCGGCCGGGACUCAGCCUUGCAUUCGCUUGGUGUACUUUCCGGUCGACGGGCCAGCAUCAGUUUUGACCGCGAGACAAAGGCGGAGGGAAUGUGGCUCUUUCGGGAGUGUUAUAGCCCUUCGUCACAUGUCGCGGUUGGGACUGAGGACCGCAGCACGCCUUUAUGGCCGGGGUUCGCCCACGUACGUGCUUAGGAUGCUGGCGUAAUGGCUUUAAACGACCCGUCUUGAAACACGGACCAAGGAGUCUAACAUGCCUGCGAGUGUUCGGGUGGAAAACCCGUGCGCGUAAUGAAAGUGAAAGUUGGGAUCCCUGUCGUGGGGUGCACCGACGCCCGGACCAGACCUUUUGUGACGGAUCUGCGGUAGAGCAUGUAUGUUGGGACCCGAAAGAUGGUGAACUAUGCCUGAAUAGGGUGAAGCCAGAGGAAACUCUGGUGGGAGGCUCGUAGCGAUUCUGACGUGCAAAUCGAUCGUCMAAUUUGGGUAUAGGGGCGAAAGACUAAUCGAASCWKCUAGGUWRCUGGUUCCUGCCGAAGUUUCCCCUCAGGAA